rnacentral:rRNA from 1 species
AUUGCUAUCGGAGUCCGAUUUAGCCAUGCUAGUCGUGCGAGUUCACACUCGCGGCACCGAGCUCAGUAACACGUGGCCAAACUACCCUACAGAGACGGAUACCCUCGGGAAACUGAGGCUAACCCGUCAUACCGAUCUCAGGCUUGAAUCGCAGAGAUCACCAAACGCCCCGGCGCUGUAGGAUGUGGCUGCGGUUGAUUAGGUUGACGGUGGGGUAACGGCCCACCGUGCCCAUAAUCAGUACAGGUUGUGAGAGCAAGAACCUGGAGACGGAAUCUGAGACAAGAUUCCGGGCCCUACGGGGCGCAGCAGGCGCGAAACCUUUACACUGCACGCACGUGCGAUAAGGGGACUCCGAGUGCGAGGGAUAUC